UGGGGAAUAUUGGACAAUGGGCGGAAGCCUGAUCCAGCAACGCCGCGUGAGGGAUGACGGCCUUCGGGUUGUAAACCUCUUUCAGCACAGACGAAGCGCAAGUGACGGUAUGUGCAGAAGAAGGACCGGCCAACUACGUGCCAGCAGCCGCGGUAAUACGUAGGGUCCGAGCGUUGUCCGGAAUUAUUGGGCGUAAAGGGCUCGUAGGCGGUUUGUCGCGUCGGGAGUGAAAACACCGGGCUUAACUCGGUGCUUGCUUUCGAUACGGGCAGACUAGAGGUAUUCAGGGGAGAACGGAAUUCCUGGUGUAGCGGUGAAAUGCGCAGAUAUCAGGAGGAACACCGGUGGCGAAGGCGGUUCUCUGGGAAUAUCCUGACGCUGAGGAGCGAAAGUGUGGGGA
rnacentral:rRNA from 1 species